GACGAACGCUGGCGGCGUGCUUAACACAUGCAAGUCGAACGGAAAGGCCCUGCUUUUGUGGGGUUCUCGAGUGGCGAACGGGUGAGUAACACGUGAGUAACCUGCCCUUGACUUUGGGAUAACUUCAGGAAACUGGGGCUAAUACCGGAUAGGAUCUCCUGCUGCAUGGUGGGGGUUGGAAAGUUUCGGCUGUUGGGGCUGGACUCGCGGCUUAUCAGCUUGUUGGUGGGGUAGUGGCUUACCAAGGCUUUGACGGGUAGCCGGCCUGAGAGGGUGACCGGCGACAUUGGGACUGAGAUACGGCGCAGACUCGUACGGGAGGCAGCAGUGGGGAAUAUUGCACAAUGGGCGGAAGCCUGAUGCAGCAACGCCGCGUGCGGGAUGACGGCCUUCGGGUUGUAAACCGCUUUCGCCUGUGACGAAGCGUGAGUGACGGUAAUGGGUAAAGAAGCACCGGCUAACUACGUG
rnacentral:rRNA from 1 species